rnacentral:sRNA from 1 species
AGAACUAAAAUGAACAGUGGUGGCUGACACAGAGGGAGGCAUGGCAACUGAGAUAUAAUCCACAGAGUUCAUUUGCGGGGUUCAUUCCAAGUGACACGGGCAGCAUGGGAACACAUGAAGAAACAGAAGUAUGGAAGGAUUAUUAUGACUUCAUCAGCUUCAGGAAUAUAUGGCAACUUUGGCCAGGCCAAUUAUAGUGCUGCAAAGUUGGGUCUUCUGGGCCUUGCAAAUUCUCUUGCAAUUGAAGGCAGGAAAAGCAACAUUCAUUGUAACACCAUUGCUCCUAAUGCGGGAUCACGGAUGACUCAGACAGUUAUGCCUGAAGAUCUUGUGGAAGCCCUGAAGCCAGAGUAUGUGGCACCCCUUGUCCUUUGGCUUUGUCACGACAGUUGUGAGGAGAAUGGUGGCUUGUUUGAG